CUGGACUCAGGCUCGGGCACAACCCCCUCACAGGGGUUGACCAAACCAUCGAGCCCCUGGAUUCCUUUAAUGGAAUACCCUUCACAUAGGGAUGGCGAGAGCAUUCUCCCAUCCCUAUCACCUGAACCAGAGCCUAUCCGCAACCUUACAAGUUGUGAUGAUUUGCUACGCGGCAGGUGAAACCCAAAUGGCAACAGCCAAUCAGCCAAGUGGGGGAAAUUCCUGCCAUGCCCCUGUCCCAACGACAGACGACACACGACGGCAUAGCAAUGUCAAGCGCAAAGCCCUAAAAGUAGGGAGAGGUGGGCAAGUGUUCCGAUGGACGCAUCAAAAGAGGAAGCUCUGGGUCACAUGCAGAGGUAUAUAUAGGUCCCUUGAUCCGUUUAGCAUGCAUCCCAUUGGCCUGAUUAAACCCAGCAUCAAGGGACCUACCAACUGGGUGUUGUGGCUAUUCAAUCGAACCCACCCACAACACAGGGUUUGGUUGCCAGGUCUCAUCGCAACAUGUGCCCUCUUUAAGGGAGGACCCGAUUUCUAAUAACUAUUGCCAGUGUAAGAGUUGAGACACUGCUUGCUACCCAUAACCAAGUCACAUGAAGGAGGAAGCAGAGCUUUAUUUAUUAUUUCUCUGAUAAACAAUAAUAAAACAGAAUGGCUUAGAAAGGACACCAUGCAUUAUCUAUUUCACCCUUCAACCUGAGACCGCAUGUUACAUUUUGGAACAAAGUAAGAGAAAAGUGUUGAACAAUUUGGGCUCACAUUUCAUAGUUCAGAGAGUCACAUAAAAUUCCUGGAAAGUCACAUUAGAAUGAAAUAUGGGAAAGAAGCGCUAGAACAUCUUUAAAAGCAAACGUAAAAAAGGGAACUGCAUAAGAUUUAUUAAUAUUAUGUUGCGCAACUUCUCAUUCCAAUGGGGGUGGGUGGGUGAAUUUAGGAUUUCUCUCUCUCUUUUUCUCUCUCCGUGCUUUUUUGAGCGCAGCAGCAUAGGCUAGAAACACCAGUUCCUCUUGCACGUCAAUAUAUUGACGGAUUGCUGUUAAACAGCUGCUGUUUUGAGUUGCCAGGUCUCCAAGAGGGGCCUUGUGAUGCCAGAAGAUUGGCUCUGGUGAUAGCAAAAGUGGAGACUGUGGAUGAUGAAAACAACACAAAAAAAGAAGGGUCUGGGGAUGUUCAGUCCAGAUAAAAUGUUGCUUGCUUCCAUCUGGCUGAAAGUUCUAUUGAUCCCAAGUGCUGGUUCAUAGAGUUGGCAGCAUUUGUCCUUCGUGGGUUAUUGGCCCAUGCACCCUGGCCUUGGGACUCUUGCCUGUCUGCGAUUACCAUGUGUCUUGGCCCCACAUGCAUUUGCUUCAUGUGCACCCCUAUCAUUCCCCUUUGCUACCCUUUCUCCUCCCUUGCCACCUCCUAGAGCCGUGACCACCUACCUGGUCAAUGGUCAGGUCUGCAAUGAUGGGAGUCGGAGUCUAACAACUACUGGUGGGUGCCAUAUUGGCUAUCCCUGUUCUAGAGUAACCAGCCUGUUUUUCUAUGUUCAGCCUCAUUUUAGAGAUCUGCUUAUGUGCAUUUAUUUAUCUAUUUAGAAGGUUGAGCAACUGCUUGAUCCCCAAGAGGUGUGCAAUAUAGAUAAUGUGGUGCUAGUGGCAGGCAAGAACCACAGUCCAUUCUGUUUUCAGGCAGGCAAGAGCAUGGAUGCAGUAGUUAUGCUCUUUUUACAAAAGUUUUGAAGUUCUUGCAAGCUUCAAGGCCUUGGCCAUUGUGGCAGAGCCAGAAUUUAAAUUUGUGCUUUUCUCUCUUCAGAAUUACGCUUCAUUGUAGAGGAGCAGAGGAGUACGGCGUGACAUGACCUGUGACUUUGCAAAACAAAUUGCCGGAGACUGGGCAACCAUCAGAAAUAGCGAGUGGCUCAAUUGAAAUGCUUUUAGUCCAUCUCCGAACGCAUUUGUUUCAUUACACACAGCCAGCUGCGUCAUUAACAUCUUGUUCCAUGCUGAAAUUUGCUCUAAUAUACAGGCCAGACUAACAAGAAAAAGUAUGCGAGGCUAGUUAGGCUUUUGCUUUUAUGAAAUGUUUCUAUGGUGUCUGCUGCAUUUGAAAUGCCACGAAGAGAUUGGGGCUUAGGACUUUUUGUCCUCAGAUAAAUCCAUUCCAGGAAAGUGAUAAGCUUCUCAUUAAAGCAGCUACAGAGCACAUCUCAAAAAUAAUUCCUUAUGUGCUGCUGUGUGUGGAAGUCUUGCUAUCAAACAUACUAAACAAGGAGAGAAAAAGUCUUCAUUUUUAAUCCUCUUCCACUAACUUGCUUACCAGUUUAAAGGACCCAGUACAGAGAAGGCAGGCACUAUUUGCAAUCUGUUGAUGCAGUAAUUUUUACUCUUUUAUUGUUGAUGCAGUAAUUUUACCAGUACAGUGAUAUAAUCUGUUUGAGGACACUGGUGGGCAUGCUUUCAACAAAUCCAAUAAUCAAAUUUCAUAUGGAGUGGGGGAAGUAAACAGUGCUUCAAAUGUGAGAUGUAGGCACCUAGAAAUUGCUGGAUAUUCACGAAGAUGGCAUGAAAUCACUUAGUCCUAAUCCCUAAUCUGCAUCACUCAAGGGGGUUAGGAUAAGCCAAGGUCCUAUCUGCCAAGUUCUAGUAGUGGCCGGAGGCUCUGUCACUGUUGAGGCUAAUGUUGUGUUCAUUGGGGUGGCUCCGUAGGAAUGGGGGAUGAAUUCAAUUCAGUUUAUAGUUAAAGGCAAACCUACACAACUCACACUUUCUGAAACCAAAAGAGCACCCUUCUUCAAAAUUUGCAUUUCUUUGAACUUUGCAGCUCAGUUUUCCAGCCAAGUAAUGUGUACCACAAUUGAUAUAUUGGGGUAAAGUGUGCAUAGAAUUGUAUGUAUUAGUGAAGAUGACAUUUUAAAAAAUGUGUUAUAUUAGAG